AACCAAAAGGCAAAAGCAUACCAGUCGGUCUAAAUAUCUCAAAGCAAUAUCGAUCCCAAAGCAAGUGGAUUAAUUAUUUUGUGGUAGAUUCCACUUUGAUUGCCACUAAUUAAUUUGAACAAUACUGGAAUUCUGGAAAGCUGCAAGCACAAAGUUUGUAGUGGAUAUGAAUCCAUUAAUUAUUCAAACGUAUCUAUCCAUAGUUCCUUACUCUAUUUAUAAUAUGCCACUACAUAAUACCAUAAAUGUUGGAACUAUAUAAACAAUAUAUGCAGAUCGAUCUUAAUAAACAAAAGUUAAAAUAUAAGCAAGUAAUUAAGUUGUGAAAAAUUGCACUACGAUAUGAUUGCCUAACCAGCUUGGACAAUGGCCGGCCGGCCAUUGUUGUGUGGUAGAGCAUUCGAUCUUCUUCACCCUCAUCUGUAUGCGCUAGGCUUCGUAGUUGUCAUUCUCAUACAACUUUUGAUUUUUGCACUUUCUUCUGUCUUCUUCUUUGAUCUGUUGAUACUGUCCACGUACGUAACUUUCACAACACAAUGAUAUUGGACUAGUAUAGUAAGCUUGACCCUUUUGCCUCGAGUACGUACCUAAUUCAAGUUCAAUCAAAACUGCCCGUAAUUUUUCAGUGAAAUCAAGCUCUCAGUAUAACUGAUUAUAGUGCCUUUCUCCAUCUUUGAAGUUGGACACGUGACCGGUUUCACUAAUACAUUAACUCUAGCUAGGAGUAAGCGCCACAUGUGCUUUUUUGAGGAAGAAGGAAUGGUGGUCGACUGUGUCCCUGAACAUCUUAGAGACAAGUCGGAUGCAACGUAGGGAGUUCAGGGGCAAUUUGGAAACAAUGUUCAUGAAGAGGAUGUCUAAAAAAAAAAUCUAAAGAACUACAAAGUUUUGGCCCCAAAAGGAAAGCUUCGAAUUAUCUUUCAUAUAUCAUCAAGAUAAUGUUUUUUCUUCAUAAUUCCUUAAUCUAAUAUGAAUAGAAAAAAUAGAAAAUUACUCAUAAGUGUCAUUUUGAAACUUUAAUUAACUAUAAGGCCACCCAGUUUUUUUUGUACACAUAAGGCCACUUACAUCUUCAAAUUAAUUAAUCUCGGACGAUUUUGCCCUUUCACCUGACAAAACCAAUUGCGUUGGCCGUUGGCUACAUUACAGAUCUCUCUCUAUGACUUUCUCUCACAAAUCGAAACGAACGCCAUUACAGCCUCACGAGCUCGCUGGCGAUGUUGAAGACGAAUGCGUGGCUGGUCGUCGUCAUGGUGGUGAUCAUCUCUCUGCAAAUCUCGUUGAACAAUUUGAGAACUGGCGAAUCUCAUUGAGCUUGGAUCGACAGCGGUUUCGCGGUGUUGGCACCUAAUAUCCAAAGAAACCUUUACCUUCUCUCUGCUGAACAGGAUUUGCGGUGAGUCAGGUAGAGCUAAUUCCUUCAAGGCCAUUCAGGAAAAUUUUGGUUUCAGAUCUAUAAGAGAUAGUCAUGAGGAUCUAAUGGAUUCCUUGUACCUACAAGUCAAAAUUGCCAGACUCUUAUUUUUGUCACUCAAUCACGAAGCUGGUCCUUUUUAGAACACCUUGGACUACUAUUACUCAGUGUUGUUGCCAUCACCCAGCUGUUGAUAGAGUGGCAAGUUGGCGAUGCAGCGGCACGCUGCUGUUUCCAUCUAAAUACUAUAAGGAUUCGUUAAGUUCAACUCCUAUUGUGAAGCCUCCAUCGACCAUGAGGCCAUCUGGCAGGCCAGAAGUAUUUGAAUGAAGUUUGCUAGUGGAGAUGGAAAGACCAGUCCUAUCAAGUGUGAUCCUUGUGGUGAGGUGAGGCUUCACAACAAGAAAACAUGUACGACACAGAUCUGAAAACUGACAAUAGCAGUUUAACAGUUGGAGUAUCUUUUCACAUAAGUCGAAGCAGCUUUUUACAACACUGAGUGUAGCUUUUCAAAUCAUCUGGAAUAGCUUUUAUAGUAUUGGCAGUAGGUUUUUCUUUUAUAGCUUCUACAGUAGUCUUCUACAUUUUUGGUAGUAGUUUUAUACACCAUCAGUAGUACUUUUUCACAACAUUAGCAAUAGGUUUUAAGAUUGCUUUAAACUUUUUGAUAACUACGACAAUAUAUUCUAUGUAGUUUACAUAUUUAGAACCUAGCUAGUUGCAUACAUUAUGAGCAUUCUAUUGGAUUGUAGCUUUUCUUGAUUAU